ACGGGUGCGGAACACGUACGCAACCUUCCUUCAAAUGGGGAAUAGCCUUUCGAAAGAGAGAUUAAUACCCCGUAACAUUUUCUGGUGGCAUCACUGGAUUAUUAUAGCUCCGGCGUUUGAAGAUGGGCGUGCGCCUGAUUAGGUAGUUGGCGGAGUAACAGCCCACCAAGCCUACGAUCAGUAACUGGUGUGAGAGCACGACCAGUCACACGGGCACUGAGACACGGGCCCGACUCCUACGGGAGGCAGCAGUAAGGAAUAUUGGUCAAUGGACGCAAGUCUGAACCAGCCAUGCCGCGUGGAGGAUGAAGGUCCUCUGGAUUGUAAACUUCUUUUAUCGGAGAAGAAACCCUAGCAUUCUUGCUGGGUUGACGGUACCCGAUGAAUAAGCACCGGCUAACUCCGUGCCAGCAGCCGCGGUAAUACGGAGGGUGCAAGCGUUAUCCGGAUUCACUGGGUUUAAAGGGAGCGUAGGUGGGAUGGUAAGUCAGUGGUGAAAUCUCCGGGCUUAACUCGGAAACUGCCGUUGAUACUAUCGUUCUUGAAUAUUGUGGAGGUAAGCGGAAUAUGUCAUGUAGCGG
rnacentral:rRNA from 1 species